UGGGGAAUAUUGCACAAUGGGGGAAACCCUGAUGCAGCAACGCCGCGUGAGUGAUGACGGCCUUCGGGUUGUAAAGCUCUGUCUUCAGGGACGAUAAUGACGGUCCCUGAGGAGGAAGCCACGCCUAACUACGUGCCAGCAGCCGCGGUAAUACGUAGGUGGCGAGCGUUGUCCGGAUUUACUGGGCGUAAAGGCCUCGUAGGCGGACUUUUAAGUUAGAUGUUAACUACCCGGGCUCAACUUGGGUGCUGCAUUUCAAACUGGAAGUCUAGAGUGCAGGAGAGGAGAAUGGAAGGGCGAGGGUAGCGGUGAAAUGGGUAGAGAUUAGGAAGAACACCAGUGGCGAAGGCGAUUCUCUGGACUGUAACUGACGCUGAGGCUCGAAAGCGUGGGGAGCAAACA
rnacentral:rRNA from 1 species